rnacentral:tRNA from 1 species
AAUUUUUUAGUCAAAAAUGAUGUU